UUGGUUUGAGUUGAGUAUUUAAUUUGCCGAUCUACUUUGUUCUUUACAACAGCGCUGUAUCAGAAAUUGGUAAAUAAAGCUAGAAUAAGUUUGUGUAUUGAUAAUAAAUAUUGCAAGUUAAUUUAGCAUGGGUAGCUUCACCAUGAGAGUGUUAGCAGAAAAUACAUGGGAACCAUAAAGGCCGGGACACAUUAUUAUCCGAUCCGACUCCGAUCAUACACUCGGAUAAAAGUCUGAGAGAUAAAUGGUACUAGACUUUGAACGCCGUAGUUCAUCUUUCCGGUACCUGCUCAAUCCGACUCCGCUUUUGUUUCAUGUUUCAAUCAUGUGCUGAUUUUGGUGCCUAUUCGAUUGGUAUUUGCUAUCCGAUUACGGGAAGGAAAAACGUAUCCGUUUGCAGAAACGUCAGUGAUACUUUUUGUUUAAAAAAAAUUGAGUUUAAUUAAACCUGAGGACCUAAUUGAAGAAGUGAGAAUUCGGUACUGUAUGAUCAGGCCAGAGCGCAGUACCCACCAAGUACCAAGACUUGGUUUGGAAAAAAGUGGCGAAAUAAUUCAAUGCCAAAGGUGAAGAACAAGACUGUAAAAUUGGAACGGAAUUCGAUACAUUUUUCGCAGAGUUCGACAGAAAAGAAAAACAAAAUCUGGACAUGCGGCUACAUCAACUAUAAAAUAUAGAUACGAGGC